UACGUAGGGUGCGAGCGUUAAUCGGAAUUACUGGGCGUAAAGAGCGCGCAGGCGGUCGUUCAAGUCGCGUGUGAAAGCCCCCGGCUCAACUGGGGAGGGUCACGCGAUACUGAUCGACUCGAAGGCAGGAGAGGGUAGUGGAAUUCCCGGUGUAGUGGUGAAAUGCGUAGAUAUCGGGAGGAACACCAGUGGCGAAGGCGAGUCUCUGGGCUGAUACUGACGCUGAUGCUCGAAAGCUAGGGGAGCAAACGGG
rnacentral:rRNA from 1 species